rnacentral:lncRNA from 10 species
AAUAAAGAAUGAGAAGCUUUUACAUAAAGUAAGAUUCGAUGAAUAUAUACUGAAUGAUAUGGUUUAGAUCUGUGUCCCUGCCCAAAUCUCAUGUCGAAUUAUAAUCUCCAAUGUCAGAGGUAGGGCCUGGUGGGAGGUGAUUGGAUCAAGGAGGUGCAUUUCUUAUGAAUGGUUUAGUGCCAGCCCCUUGGUGCUGUUCUUGUAAUAGUGAGUGAGCUCUUGUUAGAUCUGGAUGUUUACAAAUAUAGCACCUCUUCUCUCACUCUCGCUCUCUUGCUCCUGCCUUGGAAGACAUGCCUGCUCCCCCUUCACCUUCUACCAUGAUUGUAAGUUUCUUGAGGCCUCCCCAGAAGCGGAAGAUGCCAGCAUCAUGCCCCCUGUACAGCCUGUAGAACCAUGAGCCAAGUAAACCUCUUUCCUUUAUAAAUUGCCCAGUCUCAGGUAUUUCCCUAUAGCAAUGUGAGAAGGGACUAAUACACUAAUAUAAAUAAAUAAACAGCAGAAAUGUAUCUAAUACACAUAGAAAGAAUGAUGGAAUUAGAAAGUCACCAUGUGAGGGGCUUAACAGUAACAAUUGAUUCAGGCAAGAGUGAUCAGCAGCCUAAAAUGAGUAAGGAAAAGUUUGAGUAACAUAAUAUUUACAGAGCCUCUAUGCACUCCCCAGAAGAUACUUAAUAAUUAGAAAGAAUGAAGUUACAGUGGGGUGUGUAUGUGCAUGUGUGCGGGUGCAUGCAGGCACAUGUGUGUACACAGUCAUGCACCACAUGCAAUGUUUCAGUCAAUGAUAGACCACAUUUUUACCAUAACUUUGCUAUGUUUAGAUAUGCUUAGAUACAUAAAUACUUACCAUUAUGUUACAGUUGCCUGAGCAUUCAGUACAGUGCCAUGCUGUACAGGUUUAGAGCCUUGGAGCCGUAGGUUAUACCACAGAGCCUAGGUGUGGAGUAGUCUCUACCACCUAUGUUUGUGUAAGCCCACUCUCUGAUGUUCUCACAAAGACAAAAUCUUCUAAUGACAGAUUCCUCAGAAGGCAUCCCUUUCAUUAAGAGAAGAUAUCCCUAGCCACCUACCCACCAAACUAUCCCUGCAAAACCCUAACCCCCGAGCCUUCGGGGAGACUGAUUUGAGUGAUAGCUUCAGUCUCCCACGUGGCCAACCUCGCAUUAAUUAAUUUAAGCAACACAUGACUAUAUAUCCAUCAAGACAGAGAAAGAGAAAAGAUAAGACAAAUGUAUUAGGCAGGCACAGUGGCUCACACCUGUAAUCCCAGCACUUUGGGAGGCUGAGGCAGGAAGAUUGUAUGUAUGUAUGUAUGUAUGUAUGUAUUUAUGUAUGUAUGUAUGUAUAUUUUGAGACAGAGUCUCACUCUGUCGCCCCAGUCUGGAGGGCAGUGGCACAAUCUCAGCUCACUGCAGCCUCUACUUCCCGGUUUCAAGUGAUUCUCCCGCCUCAGCCUCCUGAGUAGCUGGGAUUACAGAUGUGUGCCACCAUGCUCAGCUAAUUUUUGUAUUUUUAGUAGAGAUGGGAUUUCACUGUAUUGUCCAGGUUGGUCUCGAAUUCCUGACCUCAAGUGAUCCUCCCACCUCAGCCUCCCAAAGUGCUGGGAUUACAGGCAUAAGCCACCAUGCCCAGCCAUUAUUAUUAUUAUUAUUAAUAUUAUUUUGAGACAGAGUCUCGCUCUGUCUCCCAGGCUGGAGUGCAGUGGUGCGAUCUCAGCUCACUGCAACCUCCACCUCCUGGGUUCCAGUGAUUCUCCUGCCUCAGCCUCCCAAGUAGCUGGGAUUACAGGUGUGCACCACCAUGCCCGGCUAAUUUUGGUAUUUUUAGUAGAGAUGGGAUUUCACCAUGUUGCCUGGAUUGGUCUUGAAGUCCUGACCUCAAGUGAUCCUCCCACCUCAGCCUCCCAAAGUGCUGGGAUUACAGGCAACAGCCACCAUGCCCAGCCAAAAAUGUAUUUAAAAAAAAAUUAGUUGGGUUUGAUGGCAUACACCGGUGGUCCCAGCUACUUGAGUGGCUGAGCAGUAAAGCAUAUUGGAGAUUUUUUUGUAUUAAUCUUACAACUUUUCUGUAAGUCUGAAAUUAUGCCAAAAUGAAAAGCUCAAAAUAAAAGAUAAACUUCAAAUAAAGACAUUUUAGAUAAACAAAGAUGGCGAGAUUUCAGGAUCAGCAGACUUGAACCAAUGAACAUGUUAAAGUACAUAUUUUAAGCAGAAAGAAAAUGAUUCCACAUGGAAUGUCAGAGAUACAAGAAGGGGUGAAGAGGAAAGAAAGUGUUGAGCAGGUCAUCAGUGUAAAUGAACACCAACUUCAUAAAGUACAGCAAGUCCUCAAAUCAUGUUGUUUCAUUAUAAUGAUGAGAAAAAAAAUCACUUUCCAGUCUACACAUCCUCCCCUUACCUGUGUGGGUUUUCUCCGGGUCCUCUGGUUUCCUCCUGCAUUCCAAAGAUGUGCAUGUUAGGUUGAUUGGCAUGUGUACAACGUCCCAGUCUGAGUGAGUGUGAAACCACCUUUGCAAAGAUGAUGGCAGUGAGAGAAGCCUAACAUAGCUGACUCCAUCUUGCCUCCAGCCUCACAGGCUGGCUGUCCUUGCUCAUUCCUGGGCAGAAGCCAGGCUAACCACGGGAGGAAUUUAUUUGUAGUUUAACUUUAAAGCAAGGAUGAAAAUAGCCCUUCCCAAAACUAAACUGCCCUAUAAAACUAAUGAAAGACCACAAUGUUAGGAUUCCGGGAGGAGCCCAAAUUCUGCUAAGAUGUAGGCAUACUUAAACAAUAGCCAGCCAUUGUUUUGGAGGUCACAAGAUUUGUGCAAGAUUUCAUAAGAUUUGAGUGACUUCCUCAAUUACUCCUAUAGAUAAGAUCACUAUUGUAGAACCUAAGGUUGGCCUUUCCAGAUGAUUUUUUGGACUUUCACAUUUCUGACGACUGGCUGACUCCACCCAGAUGGGGACUCAUGACUCAACUGGUCCUGUGGUCCCCAUUCAGAGGUGGACUCAGCACACGAGGACAGUUUUCCACACCCCUAUGAUUUCAUCCCCAACCAAUCAACAUUCCCCAUUCCUUAGACCCCUGCCCACCAAACUAUACAUGAAAAACCCUAAUCUCUGAGCCUUUGGGGAGACUGAUCUGAGUGAUAACUCCCAUUCUCCUUUUGGCUGGUCUUAGGUUAAUUAAAUUCUUUCUUUACUGCAAUACCAUGGUCUCAGUGAACUGGUUUUUUCUUUGCAGGGGGCAGGAAAAACGCACAGGGCGAUCACAAGUAUGGGUGUGUGUGUGAGCGUGCCCCCCAGCAGGAGGGCAUCUUGUCCGGGGCUGGUUCCUAUCUUAUGUCCUGAGCUGCUGGGAUAGGCCCCAGCCACUGAAACCCUGAACUGGAAUAACUGGACUUCUAGGGUAACCACUACAGGGGAGCAGAGGAGGGUGAUAAAAAUCAUUUUUAAAAAAUCCAUUCAAAAGAAGUCAAGAGAAAAUAAAAAAAAUCCAAAAGAAGAGAAGAAGGAAAAUGAGACAUAGGAAUCUUCACUCUACAACUUCCCAGGUGAUUCAUUCAUAUACCAACCCAUCGUGAUGAAUUCAAGAAAUGUGCUACAAUUCUGUUGUUACUAGUAAUACCCGUAACUGUAAUGCUAAUAGUAGCUGUAGCUGUAAUAGGUCCAUUGUCCAAUGCACCCAGCAAGUCAAUACACAGAGACAUCAGGUUGCAGCAGAGAAAAAGGUUUAAUGGUAAGGUCACAAAAUGAGGAGAUGGGAGGAAACCUCAAAUCCAUCUCCCUGAGGAAUUUGGGGUUAGGGUUUUGGAGCAGGCUAAAGUGUGCAAAUUGUUGGUGGAUGGAAGAGUGCAGGGUGAACUCCUACUGCAGGGAGAGGAAGAAGCUGUGUUCUCAUGCUUAUCCCAAUCCUUUGUGAGGUCUUCAAAUUGGUUGCUAGAAUUUCGGGUCUGAAAAACAUCUUAAGCCAUCCUUAACAAAAGCCUUAUGAGUCUAAUGUCAGAGAUCCUGUCUAUAGGAGCAAUGGGGUGCCAAUGAUCAGGAUCUAGCACCACAUGACUUUCAGCUACAAGGAAGUGGGCCAAAGUGCAGCCUGAUUGAUGCUUAAUUAUAACUAUACUUCUGUCCAUAACCAGACAUGCAAUUCUUGCCACCCCUGUGAGGAUGGUGAUAUGGUUUGGCUCUGUGUCCCCACCCAAAUCUCAUGGCUAAUUGUAAUCCCCAUGUGUUGAAGGUGGGACCUGGUGGGAGGUGACUGGAUCAUGGGGGUGGUUUCUAAUGGUUUAGCACCAUCUCCUAGUGCUGUCUUGUGAUAGCACUCUCACGAGAUCUGGUUAUUUAAAAGGGCGUGGCAACUCCCCCAUCAAGCUCUCUCUCUCUCUCCUGCCUCCAUGUGAAGAAGGUUCUCGCUUCCCCUUUGCCUCCUGCCAUGAUUGUAAGUUUCCUGAGGCCUCCCAGCCAUGCUUCCUGGUAAGCCAGCAGAACUGUGAGCCAAUUAAACCUCUUUUCUUCAUAAAUUACCCAGUCUCGGGUAGCUCUUCAUAGCAGUGUGAGAACAGACUAAUACAGAUGGUUUAAAUAAUUUCUCAGAAAUGUUACUAAAUCGUAUCAGUCCAUUUCAAGCCAAUAGAAGAAGUUCCUGCCUUCAAAUCCAAAUCCAUCUCAUUCAUAAACAGCAUAUUUUAAUCUAUCUGUUUUUGAAAUCUCCCUCUUAUUCAAUUAAUUUCCCUGGCCUCUCUGAUAUAAACACAGCAGAAUGUCCACAAAGCAUAGAUUCAAAGUAAUACUUCAUUUCUCACCCAAAAACAUACAAAAAAUAAAAAGUUUGCAGUGUGAUUUGUUGUGUCUUCUUUUUUUUUUUUUUUUUUAAUUUAUUUUUUUAUUGAUAA